GACGAACGCUGGCGGCGUGCUUAACACAUGCAAGUCGAACGGAUAGGCCCUGCUUUUGUGGGUUGCUCGAGUGGCGAACGGGUGAGUAACACGUGAGUAACCUGCCCUUGACUUUGGGAUAACUUCAGGAAACUGGGGCUAAUACCGGAUAGGAUCUCCUGCUGCAUGGUGGGGGUUGGAAAGUUUCGGCGGUUGGGGAUGGACUCGCGGCUUAUCAGCUUGUUGGUGGGGUAGUGGCUUACCAAGGCUUUGACGGGUAGCCGGCCUGAGAGGGUGACCGGCCACAUUGGGACUGAGAUACGGCCCAGACUCCUACGGGAGGCAGCAGUGGGGAAUAUUGCACAAUGGGCGGAAGCCUGAUGCAGCAACGCCGCGUGCGGGAUGACGGCCUUCGGGUUGUAAACCGCUUUCGCCUGUGACGAAGCGUGAGUGACGGUAAUGGGUAAAGAAGCACCGGCUAACUACGUG
rnacentral:rRNA from 1 species